AGAAGUGCAACAUGUGAACUUAACCGCUGCGCCACCGGGCCAUCCCUGCCUUUUUCUUUUUUUUUACAGAAUAAUAUUUCUGGGCGUCUAAUACAAAUCAGCACAUGGAAACUGACCUCUUUCUUAUUAACGACUGCCUGAUAAUCCAUUGUAGGGAUGCAGCCUAAUUUACUGAACCUAUCUCCUAUUGAUGAUUUUAGGCUGUUUCCAGGUUUUAAAUUAUUUGAUUGCAGGUCUGUCACAAAAUUGUUUUAACUUGACCUGCUAAAAGAAACACAUUUUUACAUCGCAACCCAGUACGCAAACAUACAACACACAAGUACACGCAUUUAUAUAGCAAAAAGUUUUACAAAACAGUAUUUACCCUUCCUAUGGGUCACACACUCUUCUUCUAUUCUACUCUACUCUAUUGUAUUCUAUCUUAUCCUAUCCUAUCCUAUCCUAUUGUAGUCUAUAAAAAAAGGGAUAGUUGAGAUCCUCUGAAUUGCUCUCACCACCAAUGGAUAGGUCACAAUCUGCAGUUUGAAAACACCUUCAGUACAUAUUUGUUAAGUGAAAAGGGAAAGGUGCUUACUUGUACUCUGUACUGUUCUAAACAUUUUACAGAUACGACUUAUGUAAUCCUUCCAAAGUCCCAAUGGGAAAGAAAUUCUUAUUCUCCCCAUUUUUCAGAUGUCAAAACUGAGGCACAGAGAGGUUGAACAAGUUGCCCAAGGUCACAAACUAGUAUGUAGGAGAGCUAUGCUUCAAACCCAGGCAGCCUGGCUGCAGUUUAUGCUCUUAACCAUCAGCCCACGGUACUUGCUAGUCUUAGGAACUGAUGUGAGGCUAAGCGACUAUUUCGAUGUUCAGUUAAGGCACAGUUCUAAACAGCCUCGUUCAGUGUUUCCAUACACCUCCUUCAGGGUCUAUUCCUUUACAAAUGAGUCGCACAGGACAUGACAAGUGUACGCUGCUAUUCACACAUCUUGAGGACUAUAGAAGCUAAACAAAGGCUCCCCCAAUUCACCAGUCUCCUCCAGAACUCUGCGUCAGCAACACAUACUCCACAACCCCCAAACCCCCAACCCCCUCAAAGGAUCAAUGAUGACCACUCUCAGUGCUGGGUUUCUAAGAUUAUGAUAGAGCCACUUCCUACUCAGAGGCAGUCGGGAGCUUCCCCAUUAUUUAUCGAUUUCACCCCAAAGUUAUCAAGUUCUAAAGCCUAAUUAUUGGUGUAAUAGUUAGCUGAGAUCUUUGGAGAGUUCUGAGCCCCUUUAAUGCGUGGCAUAUGUCAGAGGGAUUCAGCUAAUUCACAUAUCUGUCUGCACUAUUAAUAGAGAAGGUUACAUGCCAAUUAUCCAGGCUUCAAUCAGCCUGUUUGGAUACAAUAGAGGCAGUGUUCACACACUUGAUGUGCCACAUUCCUUGCCGACAUCAGAAGCAGCUGGGCCCGAUAAAGACCUCUGGGAUUCUGAUAUUUGGGGAUCACGUCCACGGAAGAGCAGGAACUGAGACUUGAUUGCUCUGUCGACUCCAGAAACGGGACUAGAAGUGCCGCAAUCUCAUCAGAAAAUGCAGCUUCCGGUGGUAUUUUUCACCAGGAACAGAAGCAGAAGUGUGCAGAAUCACCCGAGAAAGCCCCAGCUCUCCUGAGAGCCGUUCUCGAAUUUUGCUGGCACAGAGCACUGGGAGGUGAAUUGCAAUGUCAGCGCCUGGAAAUUGGGACUCAGACUCCUUAAACUCUCUUCUCACAAGGGUGUCUCUGCCUCCAUCGUUUCUGCACGUGCUAAAGGCAGAAGAAGAGGCAGAGGCUGCUGCGUCUCCUGGCAGGCGGGCCAGUUGGAACAAAGACACCAGCGGGGCCACCUCGGAAAGCAAUCUGGAGAAGUCCCAGCAAACAGCAUUUAGGGGAAGGGGAAAAACGCCUGUGGACCUGAUAAUGCAUCACGUCCCAUUGUUAAGGAGGCAAAAAGCAGAAAUUUACCUUGAAGGCUCAUGGGAGUUUGAUUUCCCUGGAAAGACAUGACCCACAUUUCUCACGGAUUGUGGGUCAAUAUUUGACCAUCUCCUCUUAUUUUCUCAUCUUCGUGUUUAAGAUUUAAAAUACAAGUACUAUGUAAUCUCUUUAAAAGAUUCAAACAGUAUAAAAUUAAGGUAGAGUCAAAGUUCCUCAUUCCUUUUGCUCACCCCCACUGGCUCAUUCACUAGAGAUAGCUAACAAUUACUUUUAACACUGUCAAACAUAUCCUUCCAGACGUGUUCGGUAAGUAUGCAAAUAUAUACAUUUGUGUCCAUAUAUUGUCAAAUAUAUGUAUGUGUCUAUAUAUACACACACAGACGUUCUCUGUUUUAAAUAUUCUACAGGAAUCAUAUUUAUAGACAAUAUUAUACAACUUGGUUUUUUUUUCCACUUAAAAUAUCUAUCAUGGGUAAUUAUCUGCGUCUAUGUGCAUUUUUAAAAACUUAGCUAUAAAGUUUGAGAAAAGUGUAAUUAUGCUCCCCAGGGAGGGGGGCAUUCAGACCAAAGGGCUUGUGGGGAAGGGCGAGGCUCCCCCCACCCCCACAGACAAUCACUGUUAGCAGUUUUUAGUGUAUCAUUCCAGAAAUAGUCUACGCGCAGACCAGCAUAUAUGGAUAUCAAAUAUUCACACCUGUCUUUGUCUUUACCAAGUAUCUUUCACCUGGCGUGUUUCACUCAGGUCUCUUGGAGAGCACUUCACAUUAGAAAAAAUUGACCUUUUAAAUGAUGGUGUCGUACUUCUUUGAAUGGCGCUCCUUAAUGUAUUUCACUCGUCCUUUUAGAUGGACUUUGGGUGGAUUUCAGUUUUUGCUUCUACAAACAGUGCUGCAAUAAAUAGUCGAGUGCACACCCUGUGAGUCUUUGCUCAAACACACUCACCCCUUCCUGAAAGCAACACCUAUACCCCACACCUCUCCUCAAAUUGCGUUAAUCCGAAGAACUGAUUGAAUCAACUUUUUUUUUUUUUAAAAAGAGGGUUUAAAACUGAGUAUUAAUAAUCCAUUAAGAAUCUGUUAUGAAUACGUGCCCCUUCCUGCAGUUUUGAAUCUUUCCUCCAGCUUGAAAGUGAGGCUCAUGAAAAAAAAAGAAAGUCAUUUUUCCCCCCCACGCCCACCCCCGCCCAGGAGUCAGCCAUGCCAAAAUCAUUGCAUUAGCAUCCUGUGCCUGCUUAUUACAAAUGCAGGCUGCACGUUGGGUAAUUCCUUCCCAUCUACUUCUUUCAUCCUGGGCUCAGAGAAAGAUCGCAACUCACUCUUACAACUUAGGUACUGCUCCCUGCUCUUUUCUGUAUGCAAGAGUUGAAGCCAUUGGGGAUUGAGAACAAAGUGUGUCCGUGGAAAGAAGUGGGUGGGAUUUGGUGUAUGCAGGAGGAUGGGGGGGCACCCCCUCCCGGGGGAGGAGUCUGAUUUCAUUAUACAGUUGGAAACCUGAUGAAAUCAUGUACACAACUGAAUCUUUUUGCUCAGCUAGUGAGGUCUUUCUGUUCUUUGUCUUGCUGUGUGUGCAGCAAAUUUCUGUUACGCCCGGGAAGAAGGAAAUUUGAGUUAAAGAGCAGGGCAGCUCCAUAUGCCUUGUAACAAGCAAGCUAAUUGAAAAAUUUAAUUCAGGAAGAGAUGCAACGAGGCCAAAAUGAAAGAGGAACUAGGCCUGUCGAUGUUCAGAGCAGGAAAACCGAAGAAGUUAUCUCCAAGUUAAAAAUUAUGCGAGGCUGGAAAAUACAUCACCUGCUGUAUUUGUUAUAGAAAUUCACAGUCUUGUUUGCUGUUUAUCUUGAGGCUCGGGGAGCUCUCCUGCUGCUUAGGAAAAAAGAGGCGAGGUCUGGGAAGAAAUGCUAGUAAUAAGAAAGGGAGGGAUUAGAAACCCCAGAGAGAAUGGGAGGUGUAAAUAAUAUGUGGGCAUUUGACAAUCAGCACAAAGAAAUGGGAGACAAAGGCAAAUGGCUGAUGCCAGAAAUCCUAAACACUUAAGUGGGAAACUUGGACAAGAGAAAAAUGUCCCAAAGGAAAAGGAAAACAAAAUCCCAGGAGAUCUUUUUCCUCUGUGAUGUUGUCUAAUGGAGUAAAUAAAGAUUGGUUUUGCCACGUUGCUCCUGCGAGCAAUGCUAUAUGCAAAGGCACUGGCUUCCUGAUGGCCUUUGAAGCUCUCUCCAGGCCAGCCUGAGCCUUAGGACCAGAUGGAGGAAUCUUGGGGAACAGUUUUCUCCUCCAGAAAGGAGUUGAGAAUGGGCCAGAAGGAGCCCUUGGCAGGGACAGAGUGAUCCCUCUCUCCAAAGAGUCCAAUCUUUUGGGGUCCUCUGCUCUUCUCUUUUUUUCUCCCAGAACCCUACCUUGAAUGGAAUUGCUUAGGAAAGGAGAAAAGGCAUUUUUUAGCUAAAAGCUAAAGUAGGACCAAGUUAAACUUGCUGGACAAUGGAAAUUUCUUCCUGAGGCUGUCUGCUGAGGUCGAGCGUGACACUUCCUAAUUGCAUGACUUGGGCAGACUGCUUUCUCUACCGUAAGAAGAGGAUUAUAACAACAACAAUAAUAAUAGGUAACAUUUAUAGAACCCUUACAUGGAAUAAUUUCUACCCUGAUCCAUUUUAUCCUCUGAACCUAAUGAGUUAGGAUAGUUACGAUGUCCAUUCUACAGAUGAAUGGAGACUCAGCCAGAUCGCCAGCUAGAAAAUGGUACAGGCAAAAUAUAUUUCUAGGUCAGGGGUUGGCAAUUACAGUCCAAUGGCCAAGUCCGGCUCAACGCCUGUUUUUGUAAAUAAAGUUUUAUUGGAACACAGCCACGAUCAUUUGGUUAUAAUUGCCUCUGACUGCUUUGGAGCUAUGAUGAUAGAGACACUAUGGUCUGCACAGCCCAAAAUAUUUACUCUCCAUUUCUUUACAGAAAAAGUUGGCAGAUGCUUGCACUAAAUCCCCCAGGCCCAAGCUCUUAACCCCAUCUGUGUUCUUCUCCUCCAAAAAUGUCUCAUUUUUUUCUUUAAAUGUGAUGCUGAACAGGAAAAACUAAUCUAACAUGUCAGAAAUAAUAAUAGUGAUUGGAGAAUUUAAUUUGUUAGAGGCCCAAGAAUAUUAAAAACAAGCAAAAACAAACUUUUCUUUCUUUUCCUUUUUUUGUCUCAAAAUUAGAAACUGUUUACAUCCUAAAUUUAAGACAAACAAAAAAACCUUGCAUUGCCUUACCAGCUUUAUUGAAACUGCAUAUAAACGCUUAUCUAAAAACCAAAAUUUCUAGAGUCAUUUCCAAAAUAAUGAAGGAAUGGAAUACAGUUUUCCAGGUGACAUAACAUUUUUUUUCCGUAUGUUAUUUUCAAAACUGCAAGUAGAAUAAGUUGUUAAAGUAAGAAGCUCCCAGUUUUGAAUCUGAUGUUCACCCUAUAAUAGUAAUGUACAAACUCUCGGCGUUUGGAGCUUUGUUUAUAAAUGUAAAAUUUCUGUAACCAAAGGGGAAUGAAAACUAAGGACAGUUGGGGUUGCUAACUCAACAGUUAUUUUCUCUUCUUUCCUACAAAUGGAAGUUGGAGAUCUUGGAAACUGAUCCGUGUUGCCACGUGAACUGUUUCUGGUAUUGUAACACUGGUUUAGUUUGUCAUAGGUCUCCCGGAUUGAUGAGUGUAGCUACAUAUCCAGGUUUUAAAAAACGUUAGUGAACAAAAUUAAUAAUAGUAUCUUCUGUAUCUCGUAUCUGCCGGGCGCUGUGGGCUGGGAGUUCUGAAUACAUAGUGCUGAGGGCCGAUAACUCGACAAGCAGGGGGUUACUAUUUGUAUUUCUAGAUGAGAACAAUGAGAUCCAGGUGCAUAAGGUGUCCAGUUAAUACAUGACUGAUUGACCUCGAAAUCCUGAGCCCCGAUUCCAUACUCUUUCCCCUCUAAGAGGAGGUCUGUCACUGAUUGUUCUUCCUUUCAUUGACCCAAUUCUUACCUACUUUGUUGUCUACCAUGUCUCAGGCACUGCACUCAGCUCUGGGGAUUCAACAGCGAACAAAACAGAUAACUAAGUCAACAAGUUCAUGACCAGGAUAUUUUUGGAGGAUGAGGAGUGCCAAGAGGGAAAUUAAACAGGAUAGAUGGGAUGGCAAGUGUCUAAGUCCGGCGUAGCAAUAUAGGAUGGGGAGGCCAAGGAAAAGACUUGAAUGAGGAAUAAAAGCCACAAGAGAAAGAUCUAGAUAAUAGAAGAAAGUUCCAGACAGAGGAAACAGCAAAGCACAUUCCUUGAGAUGGAAAGAUCUUGGUAUGUUGAGAAGUUAUGUUGAUACUUUCUGGCUCUCGCCAAUUCAGCAGCCAUUAAGACUUGUCUAAGCUUGAAGGUCCUAGGUGCUGUCUUCUAAGGGCUGAGCGUUUACCCUCAGUUCUAAGACAUUUGGCUCCGAUUUCCUAACACUGCUAUCUCCUUCUCCUUAUCAGAGGGGAGCAAGCUGUUCCUCAUUUAUUUGUGACUGGAAACAAGAAGUUACCAAUGACUGAGUACACGCCUUGCACUGUACUAACUGCUUAAUUGCAUUAUCUCAUUGAAUCUGCAAAACCACCCCACUGAAUUACGGUAGAACACUCUUAAUCCAGGUCGAUGCUGUGCUGAGAGUUUUAAGGAAAUUAAUUUCUAGAAUUUACAUGUUUAUACUUACAUUUACUUAUUCCUAAAACUGCCUUGGAAUGCUCCUGUAGGCCUAAACUCAACUGGAACAACCCUUUUCUGCCAUUACAGAGAAGUCUGUGGAGGGUGAAUAUGUGUUUCCUUGUGCUGUGGCAGCCAUUUUGUGGCUAUGAGAGGCAAACCUGAAGUUCAAAGUCAAUACACUGAGGUGGGCAGAACAAGAUCAAAAGAACCUAGGACUAGAACAAUGGAGUUAACUAACCCUGGAACUGCCCUAUCAAGGAGGACAUUUAUGCCAUUUUUAGAUGGGUUCUCUGUUUCCUGAAGCUCUAAGCUCCUAUUUUACAAAAUAAGGAAACUGGAGCACAGAGAGGUUAAGCUAUCCGUCUACAGUCACACAGCUGGAGCUUCCCAGUGCUGUCAGGAUCAAGUCCAAGCUUGGGUGUUUCAGCACGGCUAAAAUCCCCCGCCGGACCUGGCCCCCUGGAGGCUCACCAGGAGCAACGGUCCCUCUUCUGUGGGCGUGGUUUCGAGGCUCAGAUGAAGUAACGCCUGUCACGCUGUUCCUUGGUCCUUGACAUGGAGGAGGGGAUCAACACGUGGGAGCUCUGUCGCUAAGACCUGGGAUCUGCUGGGAAUCAGGGAGGCCAACUAACUCAGCUACCCAGUGGUUCUCAACCGGGGAUGGGGGAGGAUUUUGCCCCCAGGCGCACUGGCAAUAUCUGGAGACGUUUUUGGUUGUCACAAUGUGGGGAGAGUGCUACUGGCAUCUAGUGGGUGGAGGUCAGGGAUGCUGCUAAAUACCCUGCAAUGCACAGGUCAGCCUCCUCCAUCCCCACCCCACCCCCACCCUCCCAUGACAGAGAAUUAUCUGGACCAAAACGUCACUAGGGCUGAGGUCAAGAAACACUGGAUGAGGCCACCCGGAAGAAGCUUCCCUCUUCUAUGCUCCAGAUCAAAUCCAUCGCCACUUCAGUUUCUCUGCAUGCCACUGUCUCUUGCUUGAGUGUACUAAAGUGGCCUAGUCUUUUCUCCAGGAGCACGCUUCCUACAGAUCUUCAACGGCUGGUUCCUCGUUCAAACGUCCCUCCCCAGGAAGCCUUCUCUGACCACCCACUGCAAGGCUGCUCCCGCCCUCCCUGGUUCUCCUCCUGUAGGCAGCCUAUUCGUUUCCUUCUAAUAUCUAUCACCAUCAGAUGGGACAUUUAUUUUCUUAGUUGAUCAGUUGAUUGUCUCCUGCACUCGAAUGUGAGCACCAUGAAGAGGAAGAGUCAGGUCUGUCUUGAUCAGGGGUUUGUAAACUACCACCUGUGGGCCAGAUUUGGCCCUUUGCCUCUUUUUGUAAAUAAAGCUUUAUUGGAACAAGC